UAGGGAAUCUUCCACAAUGGACGCAAGUCUGAUGGAGCAACGCCGCGUGAGUGAAGAAGGUUUUCGGACCGUAAAGCUCUGUUGUUGGUGAAGAAGGAUAGAGGUAGUAACUGGCCUUUAUUUGACGGUAAUCAACCAGAAAGUCACGGCUAACUACGUGCCAGCAGCCGCGGUAAUACGUAGGUGGCAAGCGUUGUCCGGAUUUAUUGGGCGUAAAGCGAGCGCAGGCGGAAGAAUAAGUCUGAUGUGAAAGCCCUCGGCUUAACCGAGGAAUUGCAUCGGAAACUGUUUUCUUGAGUGCAGAAGAGGAGAGUAGAACUCCAUGUGUAGCGGUGGAAUGCGUAGAUAUAUGGAAGAAUACCAGUGGCGAAGGCGGCUCUCUGGUCUGCAACUGACGCUGAGGCUCGAAAGCAUGGGUAGCGAACAGGAUUAGAUACCCUGGUAGUCCAUGCCGUAAACGAUGAGUGCUAAGUGUUGGGAGGCUUCCGCCUCUCAGUGCUGCAGCUAACGCAUUAAGCACUCCGCCUGGGGGAGUACGACCGCAAGGU
rnacentral:rRNA from 1 species